rnacentral:rRNA from 1 species
UGAGGAAUAUUGGUCAAUGGACGUAAGUCUGAACCAGCCAAGUAGCGUGCAGGAUUGACGGCCCUAUGGGUUGUAAACUGCUUUUGUUGGGGAGUAAAGUGGGGCACGCGUGCCUUUUUGCAUUUACCCUUCGAAUAAGGACCGGCUAAUUCCGUGCCAGCAGCCGCGGUAAUACGGAAGGUCCAGGCGUUAUCCGGAUUUAUUGGGUUUAAAGGGAGUGUAGGCGGUCUGUUAAGCGUGUUGUGAAAUUUAGGUGCUCAACAUUUAACUUGCAGCGCGAACUGGCGGACUUGAGUGCACGCAACGUAUGCGGAAUUCAUGGUGUAGCGGUGAAAUGCUUAGAUAUCAUGACGAACUCCGAUUGCGAAGGCAGCGUACGGGAGUGUUACUGACGCUUAAGCUCGAAGGUGCGGGUAUCGAACAGGAUUAGAUACCCUGGUA